rnacentral:lncRNA from 1 species
UAUGGGCUAGCUGGUGACAAUCUUGGACUGCUCGGAGAGUAGGCUACCGAUGGGCUAUAUUUUGCAGAAGGAGGAUUAUAACUCGGAGAGGUAGGGCUAUAACUAGGAGAAGUUGGACUAUAACUCGGGGAAGUAGGGCUGUAACCCGGUGAAGUUGGGCUGUAGGCAGGUGAAGUUGGGCUGUAGGAUGGGGAUGUGGGGCUGUAGGAGGGGGAUGUGGGGCUGUAUGAAGGAGAUGUUGGGCUGUAGGAGGGGGAAGUGGGGCUGUAUGAAGGAGAUGUUGGGCUGUAUGAUGGUGAAGUUGGACUGUAUGCAGGGGAAGUGGGGCUGUACGCAGGGGAAGUGGGACUGUAAGCGGGGGAAGUCGGGCUGUAGCUUGGAGAGGUCGGGCUGUAGCUUGGAGAAGUCGGGCUGUAGCUUGGAGAGGUCGGACUGUAGCUUGGAGAGGUAGGUGAGUAAGAGGGGCUCGUAGGAGAAUAUGCUGGACUGGUUGGACUAUAACCUGGAGAGCUUGGACUAUAGGUUGGAGAAGUGGGACUAUAACCAGGGGAGGUGGGGCUGUAACCCGGCGAGGUGGGACUAUAACCAGGGGACGUGGGACUGUAUCCAGGGGAGGACGGACUGUAUCCAGGGGAGGAUGGGCUGUAACCCGGAGAUGAAGCAGGAGAGAAUGCCAUUCCACCGACAUAGGGAGAAAACUGAGCAUCUGAGAUGGGAGACAUUCGCAUAUUCGGGCUCAGCAAAUAAUUAGGUGACAUCAUUCCAUCACGGAAGGGAGUUCCCG